AACGAACGCUGGCGGCAUGCCUAACACAUGCCAGUCGAACGAGACCUUCGGGUCUAGUGGCGCACGGGUGCGUAACGCGUGGGAACCUGCCCUUAGGUUCGGAAUAACUCCCCGAAAGGGGUGCUAAUACCGGAUAAUGUCUUCGGACCAAAGAUUUAUUGCCUUUGGAUGGGCCCGCGUUGGAUUAGCUAGUUGGUAGGGUAAAAGCCUACCAAGGCGACGAUCCAUAGCUGGUCUGAGAGGAUGAUCAGCCACACUGGGACUGAGACACGGCCCAGACUCCUACGGGAGGCAGCAGUGGGGAAUAUUGGACAAUGGGCGAAAGCCUGAUCCAGCAAUGCCGCGUGAGUGAUGAAGGCCUUAGGGUUGUAAAGCUCUUUUACCCGGGAUGAUAAUGACAGUACCGGGAGAAUAAGCUCCGGCUAACUCCGUG
rnacentral:rRNA from 1 species